UAUUGAUAUAAGAUCAUGUACCAAAUUACAUAAGAUAGAAAUAGUAUACAAUAAAAUAUUAUAAAAGAAAUCGAAAUUCGCAAAAUGCAUCUACAAUAUCACUUAAAAAUAUCCACAUAGAACUUCCUACUUUGUUCAUCGUAUUCACCAACCCAACAUGGCACAAAACUUUGCUAGCAUAUGUAAAAGAUAUGACUAUAAAUUGCACAAAAUAACAAAAAAUAACCUAAAAAGAAUAAAAUUUUGAUUUCUCCUUGUCCGUCAUCUAUGAAAUUUUUACGAUCUUUUCCUUCUUAGCUUUCUGACGAUCUCAAUAAGGAAUUUGAAUCAAUUUCAUUGCCUCCAUUUAGUUUUGAUUUCCAUACUUAUACAGUAGACACGCUAGGCUUGUUAUAGUGCUUGCGGGAACAAAAACAUUCGCUAUUUGCUGAAUCUUCCAGUUGAAUAUUGAUGCUACCAAAAAAUAUCACCUGAAAGUCUCGAGCUUGAUGACUGGGAUGGAACACGAACUGCGCCUUCCAAUACCUGAAACAAAGGUAACGAUGUGUGUGCUCGUCGCCCCUCCGAUGCUUAAGUCAGACAAGGAAUUUUAUGCGUGAGGCUAUAAACUGAGAAUAAUAAUGAAGAACGUACCUUUGGAAUGAGCACAGGUUGUGUAUUUAUAGGUGUUAGUGGUUGAGUCCUAGGAGGACUGAUUCUGCCACAAUCCUUCUCCUCGUAGGAAAAGGAGUUGGUGUUUCACCUCGUGUAUUCAAAUCACUGUUUGAGUCAAAGAAGGAGUCUAAGAAGGUAGGGAUUGUGUUCAAGGUAGGAUUAGUGCUUCCAUAGGUCACAUAUGGAAGUUGACGAGUCAACACAUCUAC
rnacentral:lncRNA from 1 species